CCUACGGGGGGCUGCAGUGGGGAAUAUUGGACAAUGGGGGGAACCCUGAUCCAGCCAUGCCGCGUGUGUGAAGAAGGCCCUCGGGUUGUAAAGCACUUUCAGUGAGGAAGAACGCCUGGUGGUUAAUACCCAUCAGGAAAGACAUCACUCACAGAAGAAGCACCGGCUAACUCCGUGCCAGCAGCCGCGGUAAUACGGAGGGUGCGAGCGUUAAUCGGAAUUACUGGGCGUAAAGCGCGCGUAGGUGGCUUGAUAAGCCGGUUGUGAAAGCCCCGGGCUCAACCUGGGAACGGCAUCCGGAACUGUCAAGCUAGAGGGCAGGAGAGGAAGUUAGAAUCCCCGGGGUAGGGGUAAAAUGGGUAGAGAUCGGAAGGAAUCCCAGUGGCGAAGGCGGCCUUCUGACUGACACUGACACUGAGGUGCGAAAGCGUGGGUAGCAAACAGGAUUAGAUACCCUGGUAGUC
rnacentral:rRNA from 1 species